UACGUAGGUGGCAAGCGUUGUUCGGAAUUACUGGGCGUAAAGCGCACGUAGGCGGCUUUGUAAGUUAGAGGUGAAAGCCCGGGGCUCAACCCCGGAAUUGCCUUUAAGACUGCAUCGCUUGAAUCCAGGAGAGGUGAGUGGAAUUCCGAGUGUAGAGGUGAAAUUCGUAGAUAUCGAGAGGAACACCGGUGGCGAAGGCGGCCAACUGGACAGAUACUGACGCUGAGACACGAAAGCGUGGGGAGCAAACAGG
rnacentral:rRNA from 1 species